UCAGUAGUAAAUUCUUGUCAACAUGUGUGUAUAUAUAUGUUAGAUUUUCUUAUUUUUCAUUUACCAGGAAAAGGGGAAGAUAAAGAAUACCCAACGAUUGGAGCACGUCUGAUCAGGCUAGAAGAUAAGGUCCAUCAGAUGGACCAGAAAAUGGACUCUGUCCUGCAGAUCCUGAUGGAGCAGUUUCCGCCCAAACCGGAGCUGACGUCCAAGCCCUCCAUUCGCAGGGUGACCAUCCAGAAGUGCAUGGGUGUCAGCAUCGACGAGGGGCCCUGAUAUCACAGCAAUGGUCACACUGGGUAUGAUGACGCCAUCACCAAAGGAGAAGUAUAGGACCAGGAGUUCACAUAAACAGCCUAGCCCCCCUAAAUGGCGGCCAGCUUUCAAAUAAUAAAGGGAUUCAGUCUUCCAAACCUCCUCCAUCUCUUCCAUUUGCAGUCCCAAAUUUUCUCAUUGACUUUUGACCACAGAGAAGAGAACAACUUUUAAUUGUCCACUUAGCGCUGCAUUGCUGUGGGGCAUGAGGGCAAGAGUACCACUUAGAGUGGGAUUCAAGGUGUAGAAAGAUGGCUGACUGACCUCUUUCUUCUGAUGAUUGUCUUUGAGUCUUUUUUCUUCUUCUAAAUCUAGCUUUCUCUUCUACACCAGCAUUGUGGGCCCUCAGUCUACCCCUGAAGCACACAGUCAUUCAAGCAGCAACACGCUGCAUGAAUUUAUUUCACUACAUUAGCCUCAUAAUCACACUACUCAGAUAAUGUUAAUUUAUGUGUGGCCUGUCACUGAGCUGCAUUCCCCUACUCCAAAUAUUAUUCCAAAGCUAACUAACCCAGUAAUGAAGUUGUAAUGCAAUCAAAGCACUCAAGUUCCCCAAAGACACAGAGAAAAACUGAGAGUCCAGCCAUGGCAGAGGCAUUCCUAAAAUCCUUCUGAUUAUCUUGGCACCAUCCACACCCAGUACACAACAGGGUUAUUUCCAUAGCCACAUAUCCAUCUAGCCUAACUGUACUUAGGCUGCACCGGGUGUUUGUUAGUAGUGAUCAAAUAACACGAGGAGGGAAGGGCAGAUUAUCUGUUGACUUUGCCCUGCGUUAGGGACCGGAAGGCUGGAGUAAAAGAAAUGGAGUUAAAGAGAUGUGUCUGGUGCACAUGGUGCUGAUUUACAACUACGUUGAAGCUAAUAAAAAUAGCCAAACUGUUGGUGACAGGCCCGGUGUGUUACAGGAAUACAGUCAGAAAUUAUGGCGUGGUCUCUCAGUUUCCUCACUGGGAGACUUUAUUAUGUAUUGAUCUCAACACUUUUAGUAGCUCCACAACUCACACCACCACCAAGGCCCUGCUAAUAUCCUCUAUUACCCUCUUCAGGGGGCUCACACUGCUGUGUGCAAUUUGAAAUAAAUUUGCCCCAUUAAAGCUCUGAUUAUUUUUUCUCUCCAGAGCUAAUUAAGUGCUGAAUUCCUGGUAAGGGGAGAUUACUCACUGUGAGGGACUAAUGAAAAGAAACACUGGAAAAUGUGCAGAAUUUAAACUGUAAGCUUUGAGGAACAGGCGCACUAAUUCUCUGUGAAAGGUUUGGAAAUAUCCACCUACUACUGAGAGCACACGUUUGAAAUAAAAAAGACAAUGCUCUCACUUUGUUCCCAUACUCUAAGUAUUUAUCUGAUGCUGAGGCAUGUAGGAUGUAGAAAAUAGAAACUAAGUCUAGCUAUGUAGCUACUAUAUGAAAGGCUUCCCAUUAUUAGACAAAUGCACGUCGUCUAGAGGAAGGGUGAAAAAGGGAAGGGGAUAGAGGAAAGCCUUUCUCUCUGCACUAGUAUAUAUUUUCAUAUUUUUGCUGUGUUUAAAAUUUUUAAUUUAUCUUACAUUAAAUAAAGUGGUUGUAUUUUAAAGGCACUCUCAUUUUGUGACAUACCUUGAUACAUAUCUGCCUGUCUGUUCUCCUGUACAGUUUUAUAAAAGUUGUAAAUAGAAACAUUGCCUUAUUGCACUGUAUUUAUUAUCAUGUGGAAAGAUCAACCUGGAACAUGUCUGCUUGUUGAAGUGAUGAGAAACACAGAGAGUGAGGCUCCUGUUGUACAGAUGGAUGGAAAUGAUUGUAAAUGAUAUUCACGCACACCCUCUGCACUGUAGCUCUGUUGUAAAUAAUAAAACUCCAUUUCACUAUACUCUGGCCUGCUCUCUUAGUUUGGGAAGAAUUUGAUUACCAGCUCAUCUAUUCCAUAAUUUGCUUUCAUUGGAGGGUGAAACCUGUCUUAUAGUUUUUGGGGCUGUUUGUUCAAAUCUUGAGCCGAGCUGGGUCAAG
rnacentral:lncRNA from 15 species